CCUACGGGAGGCAGCAGUGGGGAAUUUUGGACAAUGGGCGCAAGCCUGAUCCAGCAAUGCCGCGUGCAGGAUGAAGGCCUUCGGGUUGUAAACUGCUUUUGUACGGAACGAAAAGGUCUGCCCUAAUACGGUGGGCCCAUGACGGUACCGUAAGAAUAAGCACCGGCUAACUACGUGCCAGCAGCCGCGGUAAU
rnacentral:rRNA from 1 species